rnacentral:misc_RNA from 1 species
AAGUAAACCACCAUGUCUGUGGAUGAUUUUACCAAAAGUCUUAUCCUCCAGCUGAGUGCAAACAUUCUUCAUAUCAACUGUAGGCACACCCAUACAUUUUAUUCUUACAGCUUCAGAAUGUUUCCAGUUAUUAUGAAUAUCAUUCAACAUGUUAUGUGUUAAACCAUCUCGUCCCAAAUUGACUUGCCGCUUGGUUUUAUGCCUCUGACACCUUUCCACAAGAGCUUUCCUCUCCGCAUUCGUUAAAGGUUCUCCUUGAAUUCUGUCUCUCGCCACUCUUCUCUUCUCUUCCACGGUUUUCUCAUCUUCCGGUGACCCCACUUUUGGGUCAACCACAGGUGCACACACUCCAGUCCACACUCUAUCCAACUUCCCAGGCCCAAAAGGUGAGUACUUGGGCUCGCGAAGCCCAAUGGGCCGCACAUCCGGACUGCUCUCAGUGUAACUGAAGCGGAAGUCGAAGGGCAAUUUGGACUGAAGCGGUUUCUCACCAGUCCGGUCCAGUGACGACGGCGGACGGUACCGGGGUUUGGGCUGCUUCUUGGGUGGUAACUGAGUGGAACCAGGGUUUAGGGGUUUAAGGGACGGCGGAGGUACGAAGGAAUAUUUUGAAUAGAGAUUUGAAGAAGCGGCGGCGGCGGUAGAAAAGAGGUGGUGGCGCGUGGCGGAGAGUGAGAGAAUUUGGUUUUUCUGGCGGGAGAAUAACCGGAGCAUUGUGACGGGUCAGAGGAAU